CCGUCACUGGCCCCGUAACAGUUUCUGCGGGUGAAAAAGGAGGGCUGGCUGGUGUCAUACUUGGCGGUCUUCAGUUCGCUCCAAGGUCCAGCUUAGGCCCUUGAAUCUCCUGCUUAAGAAAUGCGUGAGAAACGGAAUCCUUUAUGUUGACGCCUAUACAGAUACACAGACGAAGGUUUGAAAUGACCAGCUUUUGGAAGUGACCCCAUAGCUGUUUUUCUUGUGUGCUCAUGGACCCAAAACCCAGAUGAUUUCAAACAUAACCUUCCCGACCUUAGGCUAUUUUCUUGGCCAAUCACUACGCUCAACUCUGAAGAAGUCUUUC